GCCAGCACACUACCAACAAAAUCAAAGUCGUCUGAUUCAACUACACGAAGUAGCGCCGCCGGACGAAAUCUCACCAAGCAACCUUCUGAGUGGCCUCUCAGCUGAAUCAUCAAGGUUCACAACUUCUAUUCUAGAUCCAAUCUAUCUUCCGAGUGGCCUAUCAUCUGGAUCAUCAAGGUUUGUAAUUGCUAUUCUGGAUGCAAUCCCUCUCAUCUGGAUCAUCAAGGUUUGUCAUUGCUAUUCUGGAUACAAUCUUCAUAGGUACAAUAGUACUUCUGUAUGAUCCUUUUGCAGCAAGGGCAUACAAUAAUCUUUGCGAGUUCACAAGAUAAGGAGAUUGACAUUAAAGUACAAGUAACGAGAAUAUGAUCAAUCAAUUUUACAAGUAAUUGGCUUAGGAGCCUCAGUAUGAUGAUUCAUGGAUGAAAAGGUUUAGUCAUUACGUAUUUACUUGCAGGUUGUUCUUUUUUUAUAUACAACAACUAAGUAUAUUUUGCCGAUAUGAUAUUCAUGGAUGAUAAGGUUUUUUCAUUGCAUAUUUAUUACUUGCAUUUUUUUCUAUUUUCUAUACAAUAACUACUAACUAUAUUUUGAUUGUUCUGACAGGGCCAAACAAUUCAUGCUACUGUCGGGAAGUUGAUAGAAUCAAUCUAUGUAUUUAGCAAUUUUAAGUUUGCGGAUUCCACAAAGUAUUACCAACUGAGUAGUGAAAUAUCAUUAUUUUUGCAUACAAUACAAAAGUAAAGGAGGUGAAAGGAUCAUCUAAAGGUUACCCAGAUUACUACUUCGAGUUUGCUACAGAGGAAAUAUUAGAAGAACACAUGCAGAG
rnacentral:lncRNA from 1 species